UGUUGCUUCGGCGGGCCCGCCUUAACUGGCCGCCGGGGGGCUUACGCCCCCGGGCCCGCGCCCGCCGAAGACACCCUCGAACUCUGUCUGAAGAUUGUAGUCUGAGUGAAAAUAUAAAUUAUUUAAAACUUUCAACAACGGAUCUCUUGGUUCCGGCAUCGAUGAAGAACGCAGCGAAAUGCGAUACGUAAUGUGAAUUGCAAAUUCAGUGAAUCAUCGAGUCUUUGAACGCACAUUGCGCCCCCUGGUAUUCCGGGGGGCAUGCCUGUCCGAGCGUCAUUGCUGCCCUCAAGCACGGCUUGUGUGUUGGGCCCCGUCCUCCGAUCCCGGGGGACGGGCCCGAAAGGCAGCGGCGGCACCGCGUCCGGUCCUCGAGCGUAUGGGGCUUUGUCACCCGCUCUGUAGGCCCGGCCGGCGCUUGCCGAUCAACCCAAAUUUUUAUCCAGGUUGACCUCGGAUCAGGUAGGGAUACCCGCUGAACUUAAGCAUAUCAAUAAGCGGAGGAAAAGAAACCAACAGGGAUUGCCCCAGUAACGGCGAGUGAAGCGGCAAGAGCUCAAAUUUGAAAGCUGGCUCCUUCGGGGUCCGCAUUGUAAUUUGUAGAGGAUGCUUCGGGAGCGGUCCCCAUCUAAGUGCCCUGGAACGGGACGUCAUAGAGGGUGAGAAUCCCGUAUGGGAUGGGGUGUCCGCGCCCGUGUGAAGCUCCUUCGACGAGUCGAGUUGUUUGGGAAUGCAGCUCUAAAUGGGUGGUAAAUUUCAUCUAAAGCUAAAUAUUGGCCGGAGACCGAUAGCGCACAAGUAGAGUGAUCGAAAGAUGAAAAGCACUUUGAAAAGAGAGUUAAAAAGCACGUGAAAUUGUUGAAAGGGAAGCGCUUGCGACCAGACUCGCUCGCGGGGUUCAGCCGGCAUUCGUGCCGGUGUACUUCCCCGCGGGCGGGCCAGCGUCGGUU
rnacentral:sRNA from 1 species